GGGGAAAUUCCCCGGACGCUAAUAUAUUUGCAGAAAGUGCUUCACCGGAAACGGUUAUCGGCGCAGCACCGAUUCUUUUGACAAAGACUGUUCUUUCCUUUCUUUAUUGAAUUAAGGUUUGAACAUGAGUUACCAUGGCCCUGUUCAUUUUCAAAUGUUCCGGGACCUGAUAGAAGUUGGUUUAAGCAUUCAUUUGUGGAUGCAAAGGCUGUUAAAUUGUCCGUCGUCUUAGCAAAGUUAUGCCAAUUUAAAUUAACUCAACGGGGAUUAU
rnacentral:RNase_MRP_RNA from 12 species